rnacentral:rRNA from 1 species
UACGAAGGGGGCUAGCGUUGCUCGGAAUUACUGGGCGUAAAGCGCACGUAGGCGGCUUCUUAAGUCGGUGGUGAAAUCCUGGAGCUCAACUCCAGAACUGCCUUCGAUACUGGGAAGCUCGAGUCCGGGAGAGGUGAGUGGAACUUCGAGUGUAGAGGUGAAAUUCGUAGAUAUUCGCAAGAACACCAGUGGCGAAGGCGGCUCACUGGCCCGGUACUGACGCUGAGGUGCGAAAGCGUGGGGAGCAAACAGG